UGACUGCGUACCUUUUGUAUAAUGGGUCAGCGACUUAUAUUCUGUAGCAAGGUUAACCGAAUAGGGGAGCCGAAGGGAAACCGAGUCUUAACUGGGCGUUAAGUUGCAGGGUAUAGACCCGAAACCCGGUGAUCUAGCCAUGGGCAGGUUGAAGGUUGGGUAACACUAACUGGAGGACCGAACCGACUAAUGUUGAAAAAUUAGCGGAUGACUUGUGGCUGGGGGUGAAAGGCCAAUCAAACCGGGAGAUAGCUGGUUCUCCCCGAAAGCUAUUUAGGUAGCGCCUCGUGAAUUCAUCUCCGGGGGUAGAGCACUGUUUCGGCAAGGGGGUCAUCCCGACUUACCAACCCGAUGCAAACUGCGAAUACCGGAGAAUGUUAUCACGGGAGACACACGGCGGGUGCUAACGUCCGUCGUGAAGAGGGAAACAACCCAGACCGCCAGCUAAGGUCCCAAAGUCAUGGUUAAGUGGGAAACGAUGUGGGAAGGCCCAGACAGCCAGGAUGUUGGCUUAGAAGCAGCCAUCAUUUAAAGAAAGCGUAAUAGCUCACUGGUCGAGUCGGCCUGCGCGGAAGAUGUAACGGGGCUAAACCAUGCACCGAAGCUGCGGCAGCGACGCUUAUGCGUUGUUGGGUAGGGGAGCGUUCUGUAAGCCUGUGAAGGUGUACUGUGAGGUAUGCUGGAGGUAUCAGAAGUGCGAAUGCUGACAUAAGUAACGAUAAAGCGGGUGAAAAGCCCGCUCGCCGGAAGACCAAGGGUUCCUGUCCAACGUUAAUCGGGGCAGGGUGAGUCGACCCCUAAGGCGAGGCCGAAAGGCGUAGUCGAUGGGAAACAGGUUAAUAUUCCUGUACUUGGUGUUACUGCGAAGGGGGGACGGAGAAGGCUAUGUUGGCCGGGCGACGGUUGUCCCGGUUUAAGCGUGUAGGCUGGUUUUCCAGGCAAAUCCGGAAAAUCAAGGCUGAGGCGUGAUGACGAGGCACUACGGUGCUGAAGCAACAAAUGCCCUGCUUCCAGGAAAAGCCUCUAAGCAUCAGGUAACAUCAAAUCGUACCCCAAACCGACACAGGUGGUCAGGUAGAGAAUACCAAGGCGCUUGAGAGAACUCGGGUGAAGGAACUAGGCAAAAUGGUGCCGUAACUUCGGGAGAAGGCACGCUGAUAUGUAGGUGAAG
rnacentral:rRNA from 1 species